GACAAGCUCACAGCUGUGUGAGCAGAGCCACCAUCAGACUGCUGCACAGCUGUGGGCCAGCACCACCACCCUGCUUUGCACUGCAGGAUGGCCAUGAAGGGCUCAGCAAGAACAGUCUCAGUGUCCUAAAGCAGGACAGGAAGAUUAAUCUAACUUCUGGGACACAGAGACAAGAGCUAGAUGUUAUUCCUAGCAGCCAAGGAUGAAAUAUCAGGAGCUGUCAACAGAUGAACAGAGAUUGAAGAGAUGAUGGAAGACCUGUGGUCAGAUAUGGGCUUUUAAUGAUGGGCAGCCUAGGCAGAACGAUAUGAACUGGUUCUGCACUUCUGAGAUGGCUGGAAAGCUGCCAGAGACCUUGGAGACGUUAGGACACCGCUGGAAUGAAUUUGCGUGCAUACUUUGCUUUGUCAAACACAAGGAUGUAAAAAUACUGUAUUCCACCUGAAAGCUGCCUUGUUGCAGAGUCACAUCCAGCAUCAUUGCAAGCAUCUUUAGAUUGUGAAGAAGUGAAGCCUGUAGCAAGGAAGCAAUUGUUAAGGGAGUUAACUGAUGUUAUUGAAUAGAAUCUGCAUUUGUGGAACAGAAUUAGGAGGCGCUUUCUUUACAUAAAAUAAGAGGAGCCAUUCACAGGAGACUGCAUACAGAGCACAAGCAAGCUAGGUUGGGAGUUCAUGGUAAUACUAAAUACCUUGCAGUGCAUGAGCUAUUUUUCACCAGGGAGACCAGAAGCCCUGAUCAGUAUUAAGAGCCUGUUGUCCUAUCGCAAAUACAGAGCAAACACAGAUAACAGGUAGCCAGCCCUGGAAAAUGUUUGUUUAUUCUGAUACAAUGGCAGAUUUACGCAUAAUUUGUGGACCUGCACUUAAUCAAAUCACAUGAACAUGUAGGCAAACACGUGCGGCCAUGCUUGUGUCUUUCAUCAAAUGUGAUUGAUAAAGAAAAGAAUUAGUGUAAGGAGUUGCAUUGUUGGAGGGCAUCGUUGUAAGCCAAACCUCUAUCGUCACAGCGAGCGGAGUUCCAGUAAUUGCAUUUUAAGGAGUAAUAAUUGACAUUUCAGGUACAAGAAGAGAAGAGCCUGGCUCAAUUGUAGAGUAUAUACCUCUCGAGAAUGACACAGGAAUGUCAUGAAUACGAAGACAGCAAAUUUUUGGCAUCUUUUACCUUUCAGGGGACAGCAGAUCAGCACACAGCCUUCACAAUGUUCUCUGUCUGUGAUGAUUUCGUUCUUUUAUUUACAGUCUUCCAUGGUGAUGGAGCCCACAAACUAUGUUCCACAAACUCCGUUCCACAUUCUUUGACUCCACCUAUGGGCAGCGUGGAUGGUGAAUGCUGGCUGAUGGCACCCUCACCCAAUUGCAGGAAGCCUGCUGCUCAGCAGCUUGAGGUGAAGCACAGAUCCUCCUUCAUGGCAUGGCACAGGCUGCAUGGAAAGCAAGGGAGGACACAAGCACUUCAUCCAGCGCCUGGCAGGAUUGUUCAGCCUUCCCCACUGUCCUGUUAACAAGUCUGUUCCCAGAGUAGAGAACCUGAAUGAGACCCAGGGCAGCUUUUGACAUAGUCAUGCUUUAUGCUCUGCCAUAUCUCUGCUGGCAAGGCACCCAGCAGCUCAGCUUGACAGCGAGAGUCUCACUGCUGUGCUGGAGAAAGCCAGAGUUGUCACAGAAGUUGAUAUAUUUGGGUUUCCUUGGUCAGUGACAGGCAAGUGCUUGACAAUGUGCUGUGCCUGCUCUAGUGCUCUGCUCCUUGCUGCCUGGGCUCUCAGUGGAGCAGCCAAACCCACAGGAGCUCACAUCUUGCAUGGGAUUAUGAGCUCCCAAUAUAAACCAGGAGGAUACCAUUGCUGGGCAGACAGGAACAGACAAAAGCAUUCAUUUAAUCUGUGCCAUCUACAAGUCUAGAACCAGAACGAGGUUCAAAGCCUUUGGCAGCCUGAGAUUGUUGGCAAUAGUGAGGCUAGAAAAGCCCUAGCUUAACCUGGAAAGCUGUGCUAAACACCUCACAAGAAAAUAUCUGUCUCUGAAUCAGAGCCUAAUUCUUGCUGUUGUUCUCUCACAGACACUGAGGAUCUCAGUGAUGCUCUGGACUUCCACGCUUGACAAUUUACAUGUAGGAUGAAAUUUUCAGGAGCAUCCAUUAUAGAUAUACAGUAGGAAAUUAAACAUAUAUUCAGGCAUUGAGAUCCACUGGCACACUCACACUCCCAAAAUUCAGCCUCCAGAAUAGGAAGACCAUAUCCAGAGUGCCUACUGGCAGCAGCCUCUGUUCUGUGCUAACAACUACUCUGCUCUGGGAGCAGUCCUGAUAAGCAUUAUGGAUCUAUGCAUGUUGCAACCAUGCCAGGACUCUUCUAACAGAUUGAGAGUACGGAUUAUUGAUCCCCAGCAUCUGCCUGUGUUGUUUGAUUUAUUGGUAGAGAAGUGUAUGUGAAUUCUGAGCCUGAAUCCAGAUUAAAAACCAGAAUUAUGUCAAUCUGUAUCCACAGUGGUCCCAGAAGAGCUGGAGGAACACUCAGUGCAGCAGUCCUGACAUGAAUUGUCCAAAACGGCUAACUUGCCUGAGUAUAAUGACUUCAGCUAGAGUUGUAUUUAUCAGCCAGCUCCAGCCUUCAAGGACUUGGUUCUAAAAGAACCCUGAAUUGAUUAGUUACCCACCUAAACAGGUUUUACAUUCCAGAUGAGCUCCUUUAUUCAAAUGACAGAGGGCCAUUAUGUUGCUAGAAUGAUUACCAUGUCCUCCAUAUAUGGCUCCAAGUGAAUCAGUGAUCACUUUUAUAAGAAAAUUUGCUCCUACAAACUCCUCUGAUUUAAUGCUGCGGUCAUGGAUCCAGAUUGAGUUACAUUCCUACGCCUACCUGAAGAUAAGUGGACUUCCAGCCUCACCACCAGACACGUUCAUAUUUCAGGUCCCCGCCAUGAUGGCUCUGAGCGUUGUGGUGUGGCUACAGGAGAUCAGUACUGCGCAAAUGAGCAGCAAGGCUGAAGAUCUGGAUAAAAUUUUACUUCAAGCCUUAUUUUAUUACUCCACCAACAGCCUCCUCUUUAACUUUGUUCUCCCUGUGGGUAAAGUUUGAAAUGUCCCACUGAAUGGUGGAGUCCAACUACAGCAAUUGUACAAUGAUGGCAUUCUGUAGCAAGUAUGUCAAAGGGGAAGCUUUCAGUGCGUUUACUGAGCUUUUCAUGAUACAGGUAUCUGAUGCAUCCAAAAAUUGUUUUAGUUCUUCGUCCUUCUUCAAGAUAAUCUUACUGAACAUUAAAGAAAACUGUGUGAUGUUUAUUUUUUUGUCAAAUUUCUGUGGCAAUACUGCAUGCUACUGCAGCAGGCAGCGAGGGGAAUCUUAAAAUGUUUUGCCAGUCCAGUGCCCAAAAUCUCUCUAAAUCCCAGAGGUAUUGCAAGCUUUUGGCAGAGUAGAGGCUGGCAUGAAAAGCCACGGACAUUCCACCUACAGUAACAGAGCUCUGGUAAAGGAAUCUGUAGGCUGGAAACUGAACGCAUGGAGGAGCAGAUAUGGGUCACCAUAUGGGCCCUCAGUCAUUGGCUCCAUCAUCACUGUUUGUAUCAAGAGCCAGAGCCAAGCUCUCCAUAACGUGUCUCCUUCUCCACAUCCACCUUUGCUAGCUCCUCUAUGUUUCUCUUCCUACAGAGGGAACAGUGCAUUUCUGCUUAUCAUUGUGGCACUGAGGGAUGUGGUUUAGAGAGCAUAGUGAUCGUGGUUGGAUUAGAGGAUUUUAGUGGUCUUUUCCAACCUUAAUGAUUCUAUGAUUUUAUGAUCUCUUCCAUAGGGCAGCAGAACUCAGUUUUCCUGCUCUUGAAAAGUUGGCCCUGGCCAAAAGUCUGGCUUGCAUUUACACUGCAACCCCGUUUUGUUUGCUUGGCUUUCACGCUCCUAUGACCUGCCCACAACAACAGAGCAGUUACCAGCCUCCUGGUUAUUAGGAACCAUAUUGUAGAGCUGUAUCCACAUUUUUCAAAGUUUUAUCACUUGUGGAAUUCUUCCAAAGAGAUAUGGAAAAAAAAAAACCACCACCAACGACAGCAACAAACCCAAACCCACAAGCCACAUGACAGGACCAUGCAUCAGUAGUUCUAACCUUCGUCAGCUUGUUGUUCAGUUUAUGAUUAUUCUGUGUACAGGAUAGAUUAUAAAAUGUUCCCUUGACAUCAUCUCAAUGACAAUCUGGUUUGAAGUAAGGGAAGAUUUUAAUGGAAAAAUAUCCAAACACAUCUUGAAAACAUUUUUGACUCUUGUUGUCCCAAAUCCCUCAUUUCUGUCCUGUAGGGUAGAAAAUGUUGCUAUUUCCAGUUUCUGGAUACCAUAAUCUGGCUGAUUUAUUUUUAUAACCAAAAUAAUUGUAUGUCUGAUUUGCCAAGAAUUUAAAAAAUUCCAGGCAGCUCUCAGUAUUUAUGUCACCAUAGCACCAGUUGUCCUGGCAGGGGUUGGGGAUUUUUACAGUGCAUGCUGUACAAGCAGAGCCUUCAAAAAGAAUCUGCGUUAGAGCUUGAUUCUUUACUUCUGCAACCCAUUUCUGCCAUGUUUCAUUCACUGUGAGAAAAUGUGAGGUACUGAGAUGGAUAUCACCACUCAACUAGUGAACACUAGUAGUAGAUCGCCAGCUGAAAGUAUAUCUUGUCCUGUUGCAGUAAGGUGAAGCUAACAGGAUCUUUCUGCUGGGAUUAUAUGUGGAGAUAUAAUAUGAUAGCUGCUGAUGUAAAAACACAUCCUUUCUCAAGUACAAAUGUAGAAGCCAGGUGAUUCCUUAGGAGAAGAACCACUGUCAUGCAAAGCUGAACCAGUUGGUGGACGCUUAGGUAAUAAAUGAUGACAACAUCUAGACAGGAGAUGAAAUGUUUUGUGGAGGGAGUUCAGUGUCAGAUUCAGAGCAAGCUUGGGAACUCUCUCCACUUCUCCAGAUCUCCCACAGGCUUCACUUUGAAAAAAAGAAAUAUGCUACAAAUGUGGUACUUCAGCACCUCCGUAUCAGUGCAGGGGGAACCUACCAAAAGGGCAUGCUGAUACCCCUUUUUGUCCCAGCUGGACUUCUCACCAUCAGUCAGUGAAGUGACACAAAUGAAUCCCCCGAUGCCCAAAGAGUGUGCAAAAUGCCAUCAUAGUGCUGUAUUUUACCCGAUUGCUGUGGUUUGCUUCUCUCCCUUCAAGUCUUCUUAAAGACCCCAACCAGCACAUGAAAGGCAAAAUACCAUCCCCUUUUCUUGCUUUUCCCUAGUGCCAUGGCCUAAUUUCUAACAUAACAUUUUUGGCAAGUUCCAGUGCAAGGCUCCUUGUUUGGUAUUACUGAAAUCUUUCCAUUUGGAUUAAUUUGGUUGGUGUUUAACUUUGCCUUAUAUGCUUAAGUAACAGGCUGAGCAGAAUGCUUGUUACCUUGGGCAACCCAAAACUGACUGCUGGUAAGUUGGUUUUAUUCACUGGCAAUUUGUUCCUAAACAGAGCUAGGCAAACAAUUAGUAGUAGACAAUUCAUCCAUUUAAUUUAUCCCUUUCAUUUUUUUUCUGUUCUAUUUUCAGAUUCCUUUUUAUACAGUCUUAGAUUAGAUUCUCAGUUGGUCUAAAUUGCUGAUGGAACUAUACAGAUUAAACUCAACUAGACCAGACUUUCUGACUUUUACUGACACAUUAAUUACCCAAAAAAGUUCAGUGUCCACAAAAGCAAACGUCUGUAUCUACGAGCUGAUUGGGAUCUCUUCCUUCCAUUUUGAGCUGUGACUCUCCCUUAUUUUCUCACAUUUCAUGUGAAUGGUCAGCUAAAUCAUGCAGCAUUGUUUCUGCCCCUGGCUGAAUGUCUGCAGCUAUGCAAGCCAGAGGGCUGAUUCUUCUGGUUCGAGUUGUAGUAUAUGCACAUGUGUUGUAUAUUCCUUUUGUGCAGGAGCAUGUACCUGGUCUUUGGUCACAUCCUUCCUGCAGAGAUGCUAUGGCAUCAGGAAAAUGUGAUGCUCAGUUUCCUGUGAUGAGGUUGUGCAGAGGUGUCCAACCUUUUGGCUUGUCUGGGCUGCACUGAGUGAAGAGGAACUAUCUUGGGCUGCAUAUACAUAAGGUUGCUCCAAAAGUAAUGCCUCUUAUUCAUUCUCAUAGAAACAGCAACAGAUACAAUGAGCACAUUAACACUGUUUGAUUGAGCAAAUUCUCAGCUACAAAACACUAUUUUUUAACACAGUCACCACCAUUAGCUCUGCAUUUUUGCUGGUGAUGAAAAAGAGCCUGCAUGCUGCACUCACAACAAUCUGCACCAGCGGAGGUGACCCACCAUCACUGUUACCACUGCUACACCACUCACCACUUCACUGUGCUCACACCUACUGUUUGGUCUCUACAAACAUUCAGUUAAAUGUUGAUGAAUGUCAAUGAAUGCCAUUUUUUCCACAUUGAGUAAUUCAGUUCCAUGCAUCCGUGUCAGACGCCAUUGUGUCAGAGUGCUCCUCUGCUGCCAUUUGUCACACAGCAACAACAUGUAAUGUUCAACCUCUACUGCCAUACCACCAACACCCCCCUCUGAAGUCAUGGACCAGCAUCAUAAGGUAGGAGGCAUUGCUUUUGGAGCAGCCUUCAUAAAAGAUAUAAAAUAGUUAAUGUAUACAAAGUAACAAAACUUAAUUCAAUUUUCAGUGCUUUUUAGUAAAAUGUAUACAAAAGAGAGCUAUAAAAACACAGAACUGGUGGGAUAUGUGACCCUGUUCUUGUGAAACCAACGCAUUAGAUUGGUUCAAUGGCUGUGGCUGCAAUUCUCUGUGAGCUCUCAGGGUGUUCAGUAGAGACUUCUGAUGAAAUUUUACUUCUCCUGUACUUCAUCCUUCAAAAUAGUUGUUCACAAUGUACGUACAGCCAAAAAGUGAUGACACAAAUAAGGCGUGGUUGUGAAGUGAGGGAUAUGUCUACCUGGUCUUACAAAAAUCUGGUAAAGAGACGUGGUCAGAUUUCUAAUUGCAACUCUAUAAAUUCAGUUUGAAAAUUCACAAGUAAUGUAUUUAUAUUGACUGAAAAUGGAGUCACAAAUAAACUUAAAAAUUGAUGAUUUUCUUGUCAAUCUUGAAACCUAUUCUCAAAUUCCAUUAAUAAAACAGAAA
ensembl:lncRNA